AAUAUGAAUUCUUACCUGUCGAAUAUUUUUUUUAUUUCGACUACUUUAUUUGGAUACAGAGAGCACAGAAUCUUGCACUGCAGCGAAGUGGGCAUCACUUCUGCCAUCAGUUAAAAAAACACUAGAUGUCACACAUCUUGUGAUUCAGAUAUGCGCGUUCUUGAGGAAGUCACGAUGCGAUUGAUGAAGAGAGUUGUGCUGAUUCUACUAAUCGUAGUUGGCUCGCUCCAGGCCGGGCGAGUGAUGGAUGGACGCAAAGAAUAUAACAAGGAUUUCCCUAUGGCCCACGAGUCUAUUCAGUUCAAUGGCGUAUGGUAUGACUGUCUCCCCCUGACGCACAAUGUGAGCACUACGAGUUCGUCAUUCUGCACCUGUCCUUUCUUGGCCUGUUCAGGGGGGGAAGACUGCACCUACUGCAGCCUUCACUGCUUCAUUGUAAACACAGAUUAUGACUAUCUUGACAUGAAAGACACGGACUGUGGCUGCCACUGGCACUAAAAAAAAGGCACAAUAUUCAACAAUUGCUGUG